GACGAAGAACGUAGCGAAAUGCGAUAAGUAAUGUGAAUUGCAGAUUUCAGUGAAUCAUCGAAUCUUUGAACGCACAUUGCGCUCCCUGGUAUUCCGGGGAGCAUGCCUGUUCGAGCGUCAUUACAACCCUCAAGCUCUGCUUGGUGUUGGGCCCCGCCGCCCCGGCGGGCCCUAAAGUCAGUGGCGGUGCCGUCCGGCUCCGAGCGUAGUAAUUUCUCUCGCUUUGGAGGCCCGGGCGCGUGCUUGCCAUCAACCCCCAAUUUUUUUCAGGUUGACCUCGGAUCAGGUAGGGAUACCCGCUGAACUUAAGCAUAUCAAUAAGCGGAGGA
rnacentral:misc_RNA from 1 species